rnacentral:rRNA from 1 species
GAUGAACGCUGGCGGCGUGCCUAAUACAUGCAAGUCGAGCGAACAGACGAGGAGCUUGCUCCUCUGACGUUAGCGGCGGACGGGUGAGUAACACGUGGAUAACCUACCUAUAAGACUGGGAUAACUUCGGGAAACCGGAGCUAAUACCGGAUAAUAUAUUGAACCGCAUGGUUCAAUAGUGAAAGACGGUUUUGCUGUCACUUAUAGAUGGAUCCGCGCCGCAUUAGCUAGUUGGUAAGGUAACGGCUUACCAAGGCAACGAUGCGUAGCCGACCUGAGAGGGUGAUCGGCCACACUGGAACUGGGACACGGUCCAGACUCCUACGGGAGGCAGCAGUAGGGAAUCUUCCGCAAUGGGAGAAAGCCUGACGGAGCAACGCCGCGUGAGUGAUGAAGGUCUUCGGAUCGUAAAACUCUGUUAUUAGGGAAGAACAAAUGUGUAAGUAACUAUGCACGUCUUGACGGUACCUAAUCAGAAAGCCACGGCUAACUACGUG